rnacentral:rRNA from 1 species
CAGUAGCCGCGGUAAUGCGUAGGUGGCAAGCGUUGUCCGGAAUUAUUGGGCGUAAAGGGCUCGCAGGCGGUUUCUUAAGUCUGAUGUGAAAGCCCCCGGCUCAACCGGGGAGGGUCAUUGGAAACUGGGAAACUUGAGUGCAGAAGAGGAGAGUGGAAUUCCACGUGUAGCGGUGAAAUGCGUAGAGAUGUGGAGGAACACCAGUGGCGAAGGCGACUCUCUGGUCUGUAACUGACGCUGAGGAGCGAAAGCGUGGGGAGCGAACAGGAUUAGAUACCCCAGUAGUCCCUGUCUCUUAUAC